rnacentral:rRNA from 1 species
CGUGUAGGCGGGCGCGUAAGUCCGGUGUAAAAUCCCUCGGCUCAACCGAGGAAGGUCAUUGGAUACUGCGUGUCUGGAGUGCGGGAGAGGAGAGUGGAACUCUUGGUGGAGCGGUGAAAUGCGUAGAUAUCAAGAGGAACGCCGGUGGCGAAAGCGGCUCUCUGGCCCGUUACUGACGCUGAGGCGCGAAAGCUAGGGGAGCAAACGG